rnacentral:rRNA from 1 species
AUUGAACGCUGGCGGCAGGCUUAACACAUGCAAGUCGAGCGCCCCGCAAGGGGAGCGGCAGACGGGUGAGUAACGCGUGGGAACGUACCCUUUACUACGGAAUAACGCAUGGAAACGUGUGCUAAUACCGUAUGUGCCCUUUGGGGGAAAGAUUUAUCGUUAAAGGAUCGGCCCGCGUUGGAUUAGCUAGUUGGUGGGGUAAAGGCCUACCAAGGCGACGAUCCAUAGCUGGUCUGAGAGGAUGAUCAGCCACAUUGGGACUGAGACACGGCCCAAACUCCUACGGGAGGCAGCAGUGGGGAAUAUUGGACAAUGGGCGCAAGCCUGAUCCAGCCAUGCCGCGUGAGUGAUGAAGGCCCUAGGGUUGUAAAGCUCUUUCACCGGUGAAGAUAAUGACGGUAACCGGAGAAGAAGCCCCGGCUAACUUCGUGCCAGCAGCCGCCGUAAUAC